AGCUGGAGGGGGAGGAGGGGAGGAACCUGAUCUCUCCGGUAGCGGAGGGCUGGAGGCAAACAUCGAGCUCCCCCAGAGCCGCCCGGGAGCAGGGAGGGCACCGCUACCCCGAGGGGCCCUCCCCGCGGGGCAGAUGGUCCUGGGUGAUGACAAAAAGAGCAAUUUGCUUUUCCUCGUCUAUCUGACCCCAUCAUACCACCUUGAAUCAGUUGAUGGAGUCUGGAGAAUCCAUUUCGGUGCCACUACAGUUCUGUAACACACUGUAACCACUCACAAGGAUACCCAGCCCCAGUUUUCCAUCAAAGAGAAAGAUGACUUUUAGCAGGAAGAGAUAUAUCACCUCUUAGAGAAACCACCAGCUUCUCGGUCUGUUACCAUUCCUACAGAAAGGUGCUACCGUUGUCAAGAGAGGCUGUAGGGCUACCAAAGGAGAUUGACCUUAUCCUGAGAACAUGGAAACCUUCUACAUAGCAAAAGAGAUGUCAUCACCUUUCAGUCUAGUGUCCUUGAGUUAGAAACUAAAAUAAUAGGUGUAGUUUAAACAAUAUUUAAAAUGUUAUGACAUCCUGUAUUAUUCAGUUAGACCAAGGGUUAGCAAACUUGUUCUGUAAAGGGCCAGAUGGGAAAUCUUUUAGGCUUUGUGGGCCAUACAGUCUCUGUCCCAACUACUCAAGUCUGCCACUGUAGUGUGAAACCAGUCACAGACCAUACGUAAGUGAACGAGGAUGGCUGUAUUCCAAUUAAACUUUAUUUGUGGA